AGCAGCAGCAACAACACGGUUCUUGCCUCUCGCCCUCCAAACUCGAAUUUAGGGUUACACCACAAGGUUGGAGCUUCUGUAACUUGUAGGCUGCAGGGCAGUGAGGGAGAAACAAAGAAAAGGAAGAUAGAAAAAAAAUGGCUAGUAGCUGUGCUAGACGAACUCUUCUAAGCUCCUCUGCAUCUGCAGCUACCAUUCUAAAUGGUUGCAGGUCAUCGUCAUCUUCACAUAUCGCUUCAGGGGCGACUAAGCUUGGGGGAUUCGCUUCAACAAGGCCCACUUCUGCUCGUCUUUCUCGACAUAAGCUUCCCUUAUUCUCCAGAAUUGAAAAGAAGGAAAAGACUUUAGUUUGAUUGGAUUUUGGAAGGACUUUUAGAGAAGUACCGAUCAGUGGACUCAGAGUUUACUAGCUACGAAGUACAGAGGAAAUGCAUCCUGACCGUGAAUUGAUACUAAAUUCACGAGCAGUAUGUCGUUUAUAGGGGAAAGAGGGUUAAUUGUAGGGGGUGGCUGGAAUUCAAAAUUCUGCAUCGUGUGUAUUCGUACUUUUCCCUUCAGUAGAGCCUUCUGGAUGACCAAACAUCCUGAGCGUCAACACGUGAUUAUGUUUCUUUCUUUAAUAGAAAAUGAAAACUAUUGAAUUAUUAAUUAUAUAAUUACACUGA